GAGAAAAAAAAUUGUGCUUUUUAGAAUAUCGCACUUUCAUUUUGAAAGUUAUUCAUUUCUUGUAAUUUUGAGUAGCGAAACAUUUACUCUGAGAACAAAACUUUCUAUUUCAAAGUUUUUUUGUCAAUGGAACAUUGUACCUUUGAAAGCGGAAAUUUUUAAACUGAGAGGUAUAAAGAUUUUAAAUGAACUCUUAAUUUUCGUGGUUUGGCAACACUGGAUAUGAUUUAAAAAACACUUUGGCAACCAAACGAGCUGUCAACGUCUCGGCUUUAGAAAUUAUUCCCGGCGUUUUAAGAAGAAGGCAAGUGCUCCUCAAGGCCUGAAUAAAUUUCUUGGACGAUCUGAAUGGACUACCAGGAUCGUCGUAGAUGUGGACUGGCUUCGGAAGAGACCAUCAAACACCCUAAUUUAAUCGAGUAUCUGGCUGUCAACAUCCAACGAUUGAAGCUAUUACUUUACAUCCAACAGAGGAUAAAAAUCUCGCGACAAAAUCCCGUUGGAACGCCGAGCAACGAAUUUCACCAACCAAAAGUUUGCCGCUGGCACCCCGAAACGCGACUCUGAAUUGUAAAUGUAUAUGUAAACCGAAGGAAAAGCCUUUUUAAAUGAUAAAGAGAUAAUAAAAUAGAAACAAAGUUAUCAAUUCUGAAUGUUUUUAUCUUUAAUUUGGCAAUUUUGAUUACAAAAAUGCGCCUGUA